rnacentral:rRNA from 1 species
AUACGGAGGGUGCAAGCGUUAUUCGGAAUCACUGGGCGUAAAGGACACGUAGGCGGGAAGCCAAGUCUGAUGUGAAAUCCUACAGCUUAACUGUAGAACUGCAUUGGAAACUGGUUACCUAGAGUAUGGGAGGGGGAGAUGGAAUUAGUGGUGUAGGGGUAAAAUCCGUAGAUAUCACUAGGAAUACCUAAAGCGAAGGCGAUCUCCUGGAACAUUACUGACGCUAAGGUGUGAAAGCGUGGGGAGCAAACAGGAUUAGAAACCCCAGUAGUCC